GAUGGACGCUAGCGGGAGGCCUAACACAUGCAAGCCGAGCGGUAGAGUUUCUUCGGAAACUUGAGAGCGGCGCACGGGUGCGUAACACGUGUGCAACCUACCUUUAUCUGGGGGAUAGCCUUUCGAAAGGAAGAUUAAUACCCCAUAAUAUAAUGAUUGGCAUCAAUUAUUAUUGAAAACUCCGGUGGAUAGAGAUGGGCACGCGCAAGAUUAGAUAGUUGGUGAGGUAACGGCUCACCAAGUCAAUGAUCUUUAGGGGUCCUGAGAGGGAGAUCCCCCACACUGGUACUGAGACACGGACCAGACUCCUACGGGAGGCAGCAGUGAGGAAUAGUGGACAAUGGGUGAGAGCCUGAUCCAGCCAUCCCGCGUGAAGGAUGACGGUCCUAUGGAUGGUAAACUUCUUUUGUACAGGGAUAAACCUACCCUCGGGAGGGUAGCUGAAGGUACUGUACGAAUAAGCACCGGCUAACUCCGUG
rnacentral:rRNA from 1 species